rnacentral:rRNA from 1 species
CCUACGGGUGGCAGCAGUGGGGAAUAUUGGACAAUGGGGGCAACCCUGAUCCAGCCAUGCCGCGUGUGUGAAGAAGGCCCUCGGGUUGUAAAGCACUUUCAGUGAGGAAGAACGCCUGGUGGUUAAUACCCAUCAGGAAAGACAUCACUCACAGAAGAAGCACCGGCUAACUCCGUGCCAGCAGCCGCGGUAAUACGGAGGGUGCGAGCGUUAAUCGGAAUUACUGGGCGUAAAGCGCGCGUAGGUGGCUUGAUAAGCCGGUUGUGAAAGCCCCGGGCUCAACCUAGGAACGGCAUCCGGAACUGUCAAGCUAGAGUGCAGGAGAGGAAGGUAGAAUUCCCGGUGUAGCGGUGAAAUGCGUAGAGAUCGGGAGGAAUACCAGUGGCGAAGGCGGCCUUCUGGACUGACACUGACACUGAGGUGCGAAAGCGUGGGUAGCAAACAGGAUUAGAUACCCGGGUAGUC